rnacentral:tRNA from 1 species
CGUCGGCUACAGCAUCGCGGCCGGCGCGGGUUUCUGGCCCGCGCUGGUGCUCGCGCCGCUCGCGGUCGGGCUGUUCGGCGCCGGCUGCGAACGC